UACGUAGGGGACGAGCGUUGUCCGGAAUUACUGGGCGUAAAGGGUGCGUAGGUGGUUUCUUAAGUCAGAGGUGAAAGGCUACGGCUCAACCGUAGUAAGCCUUUGAAACUGGGAAACUUGAGUGCAGGAGAGGAGAGUGGAAUUCCUAGUGUAGCGGUGAAAUGCGUAGAUAUUAGGAGGAACACCAGUUGCGAAGGCGGCUCUCUGGACUGUAACUGACACUGAGGCACGAAAGCGUGGGGAGCAAACAGGAUUAGAUACCCGCGUAGUCCCUGAGCGGG
rnacentral:rRNA from 1 species